rnacentral:rRNA from 1 species
GGUAUGGGAUGAGCUUGCGUCCGAUUAGCUAGUUGGCGGGGCAACGGCCCACCAAGGCGACGAUCGGUAGCCGGCCUGAGAGGGUGAUCGGCCACAUUGGGACUGAGAUACGGCCCAGACUCCUACGGGAGGCAGCAGUAGGGAAUAUUGCACAAUGGGGGAAACCCUGAUGCAGCAACGCCACGUGUGGGAAGAAGCAUUUCGGUGUGUAAACCACUGUCAUGAGGGAAUAAGGCCCGCUUUCGGACGGGAUUGAAUGUACCUUGAGAGGAAGCACCGGCAAACUUCGUGCCAGCAGCCGCGGUAAUACGAGGGGUGCAAGCGUUGUUCGGAAUUACUGGGCGUAAAGGGAGCGUAGGCGGAGAUUCAAGCGGAUUGUACAAUCCCGGGGCCCAACCCCGGCUCUGUAGUCCGAACUGGAUCUCUUGGAUAGUUCAGGGGCAGGC